rnacentral:pre_miRNA from 1 species
CGAUGACGAUGAUGAUGAUGAUGACGACGACGAUGAUGAUGAUGACGACGACGAUGAGAAUAAAAACGACAUUGAGAAUUUAUAACACAUGUAAAUAUUUCCUAUCCUCUCAUUUCCUGCUACUUUUCAUGUCAUACCUGACAUCAUCAUCGUCGUCGUCGUCAUCAUUAUCAUCAUCA